rnacentral:rRNA from 1 species
AUUGAACGCUGGCGGCAGGCCUAACACAUGCAAGUCGAGCGGAGCGGCGGACGGGUGAGUAAUGACUAGGAAUCUGCCUGGUAGUGGGGGAUAACGUCCGGAAACGGGCGCUAAUACCGCAUAAUAUCAGAUGAGCCUAGGUCGGCUUUGCUAGUUGGUGGGGUAAAGGCCUACCAAGGCGACGAUCCGUAACUGGUCUGAGAGGAUGAUCAGUCACACUGGAACUGAUGCACGGUCCAUACUCCUACGGGAGGCAGCAGUGGGUAAUAUUGGACAAUGGGCGCACGCCUUAUCCAGCCAUGACGCUUGUGUUAAGAAGGUCUUCGGAUUGUAAAGCACUUUAAGUUGGUAGGCGUUACCAACAGAAUAAGCACCGGCUAACUUCGUGCCAGCAGCCGCGGUAAUAC